rnacentral:rRNA from 1 species
UACGUAGGGGGCAAGCGUUGUCCGGAUUUAUUGGGCGUAAAGAGCGUGUAGGCGGCCUGAAAGGUCAGCUGUGAAAACUCGAGGCUCAACCUCGAGACGUCGGUUGAAACCAUCUGGCUAGAGUCCGGAAGAGGAGUGUGGAAUUCCCGGUGUAGCGGUGAAAUUCGUAGAUAUUCGCAAGAACACCGGUGGCGAAGGCGGCCAACUGGACCAUUACUGACGCUGAGGCGCGAAAGCGUGGGGAGCAAACAGG